UCACCAUUGAUGAAAUUGUGAUUCUAUGUUUAACUUCUACAGGACUCCUCUUAUUAUAAUUUUGUCAAGAGUUCAAUUGCAAAGGAAUGCAUGAGUAGAAAGGUUUAGAGGCAGAAACUCUAUUCACUUUUCUUGAUUGAGAUCAAAUGUAUAUUUCCACCUAUACGAGUACCAAGAUUUUUUUUCUUGUGAUCCAUAUGCUUAUGUCCAUGCAAAUAGAGAGUCAGCAAUUGUUGAGGCUCAAGUAUUAGGGGCAAUAGUUCACUCUCAAGGUCCUUUGUUUGGAGAUGUUCAAAGAAAUCUGAAGUCUUCAAGUGUUCUUGUUAUUGGAGGCAUAUUUGAUACUUUGUGGAUAGUUUGGUAUUUCUAGUAUAACUCAUCGUUAGCUUUAGUGUGCAGUUUGUAAUAUUUGAUUUUGCGAUUUGUUUAUGUAAUUAUUAUAUUGUAGUAAAUUUGUUUAUAUAUUAAAUGAUUUAUUAUUAUUA